rnacentral:rRNA from 1 species
GACUACAGGGGUAUCUAAUCCUGUUUGCUCCCCACGCUUUCGUGCCUCAGUGUCAAUGUUGGUCCAGGUGGCCGCCUUCGCCACGGAUGUUCCUCCCGAUCUCUACGCAUUUCACUGCUACACCGGGAAUUCCGCCACCCUCUACCACAUUCUAGUCGCCCAGUAUCCAUCGCAAUUCCCAGGUUGAGCCCAGGGCUUUCACGACAGACUUAAACAACCACCUACGCACGCUUUACGCCCAGUAAUUCCGAGUAACGCUUGCACCCUUCGUAUUACCGCGGCUGCUGGCACGAAGUUAGCCGGUGCUUAUUCUUUGGGUACCGUCAUCCCUGCCAGGUAUUAACCAACAGGAUUUCUUUCCCAACAAAAGAGCUUUACAACCCGAGGGCCUUCUUCACUCACGCGGCAUGGCUGGAUCAGGCUUGCGCCCAUUGUCCAAUAUUCCCCACUGCAGCCUCCCGUAGG